GGAAAGUGCUGGAGUCCCAAGCAGCUGGGGCAUGAGGUCCUUCAGGGGGCAGCCCACCAGGACCCCCAAAUCCACUCAUACCUACAGCUGGGAGAGAGGCCAGCCGCCAACCCACGUCCUCGGAGAGUGCUGGGCUCCACUUAGGACGCAGGACUGUCUGCCCAGACAAACGGGAGACAGGCUAGGACUGCUUCCUCAGCAGUGCAGAGGAGGGGUUCCCAGGGCAGCUGGCUCUGGGCCUAGAAGAUUCCAAAGCCUAUGGUAGUUCCUGAUGGAGUCGUCUGUGCUCCAUCCAGGGCAUUAAGAACUAGGAAUGAAGGGGAAUCGGGGAGAAUAAAAACACAGGACCACAGCCCAGCGGCCUGGGCACAGUCUAGCUCUGCAGAGACCAUGGGGCUGGGCUGUCCACUCAUUAAAGUGGGCGGCCGCCCUCCCAUCGGAGGGGGGAGUCUAGUGCAGCAAACCCUGGCCUGCCUUCCGCCACUGCCGCUGAGGUCUGUAUUUCUCGGAGGGGCCCUCCUGUUCUCACCCCCCUCUUGCUGUGCUAACUGCACCUCCUGUUGCCGACGGGUUCCAGAACGCAGAGGAAAACUCCCGCAUCUCCAUCACCUUCUUCCGCCUGUUCCGGGUCAUGCGUCUGGUGAAGCUGCUGAGCCGUGGGGAGGGCAUCCGGACGCUGCUGUGGACCUUCAUCAAGUCCUUCCAGGCCCUGCCCUAUGUGGCCCUCCUGAUCGUGAUGCUGUUCUUCAUCUACGCGGUGAUCGGGAUGCAGGUGUUUGGGAAAAUUGCCCUGAAUGAUACCACAGAGAUCAACCGGAA
rnacentral:sRNA from 1 species